UCCCUAGUGGCUCAGAUGGUAAAGAAUCUGCCUGCAAUGCAGAAGACCUGGGUUUGAUCCCUGGGUUGGGAA
rnacentral:tRNA from 1 species